rnacentral:lncRNA from 1 species
CUCUCGGGCCGGCUCUCCAUCUUGUCGCCCGUAGCCCGCCUUCUCCGUGGCUCUCCAGCCGCUGGGGCCGCAGAGCCGAGGCCGGGUUACCUCAGGAAACGCGAUGUGGUAGUGGGUCGGAAUAAACCCGCGCGCCCCAGAAUUCGCCUUGGGGGCGUAAGGACAGAUUCGGACUUUUCGUUUCCUAUGUCCACAUUUAUUGAGCACCUAAUAUGUGACACCCGAGGCUGUAAGAAGAGGAACGCAGCGGGCGGAGAAAAGCCAGAGCUUUUUCUCUGUGAGCCGCUGCCUCCAGGGCCAUAGCCGACCCUGCUCCGAGAUCCCAGCCGCCGCUCUCCGUGCAGGAGGGGUGCCCACCCUGGGGAGGCCAGGGUGCCCGGAGUGGAGGGACAGGGCUUCAAGCGACCGGGAGUUUCCAGCAAACCCCUGAUCCCUGAGCAGUUUAUUUUAAAAGCUUUUGCAAAUGUUGGACGGUUUCGUUUGGUGGAGGCCGUCUUUGCACUAAAUUCUCCUGUCCUCCCCCUUCGAAACGCACAAAAUGAAUUUUGAACAGAUUUUGGAUGAGAGGUUUUCUUCCUUUUUUCAUCUUCUGAAACAUUUCCCCCUCAUUUCUUCUCAGAUAAAGACCCAGAAACCCGGGACAGUUACUCGGUGUACAGCUAGUCAAAUACUGAGGAAACCAGUCGAUAUUUGCCAAAGAUUGGGCAUGUUCUGGGUGGUCUCAGAUUUUGAAGAAACGACUUUUUUACUGCACAAAAUAGUUUUACAAUCAGUUCCAUCAGACAGCCCCAGGGGCUCUCCUAGGGAAAGGGGCCAAUAGGCAAGGUUGCAUGGGGAUAAGAGAGGCAAGCGGCCAGUGGAAAACGGUUUUUUGUUUUUUUUUUCCUAACAGUUGGGCAUUUCUGUAGCUCUGAAAGCAAACUUGUUUGUUUCAUUUCAACGAUAGAAAAAAAACACUCCUGUUUUGGAAAUGUAACCCAGCAUAAAAAUACAUUUGCAAUGGGGAAAAAGAAAGCAGUUUAGGGCCACCCAGAAGAAAAUAUUUUUUCCCUGAUUUUUUUUUAAUUUGGUAUUUCCCAGUGUGGGUUUGCCUCAUUUUACAAAUAGCUGCCCAUGUCAAGAUGUGGGUAUGUGAUUUAAAUAUUUUAAUUUGAAUCACAUUUUACAUAGUCUAGGAAACUGACAAAAGAAUCCUAUAGAGAAUUGUUUUAUAAAGUGAAUAACUGCUUCUCUACCUACCCGCCCCUCUCAUUCUUCUUUUCUGUGCGUGUUUUUGGGGGGCUGUUAUGGGAUAAAUCUUGUUUGGCUUAAAAAUCACUAAAACGCAGCCUUUCAAAUCCAAAACAGAGAGCUUAGGUACCCAACAUUCUAUAGAAUGUAUUAUUUCCUCAAGAGGUUGCUAGGAACAGUUAUGUAGAUCUACCAGGUGCAGGGAAGCACUCCACACCCUCACCCAGGUCCUGUAUCCCUGCAAGACUGCGUUGGAAAGACUGAAGAGGCAUUGCUGUGCUGGGAAGGAAUGCUUAAACCUGCCACAGCCAUGUUGUGAUUAUGAAGGGAGCCAACCUGAGGACAAAUCACAUUUUCUGAGGAUGGCAAAGCAAACAGAUGCAAAGAUCCUGGGUCUUUGAUGGCAUUGUGGAGUUGCUGGACAGCUUCCCUACUUUUCACGUUCCUAUGACACAAUGUUAUCAUCGUCCUUGUUGUAUCAGCCAGGGAAGCUAAAGAAUGAUGCGCUCCACCACAAUGAGGGACUAAACAACAAAAAGGAGGCAUGAGAUUCAGGAAGCAAAAAAGGAAUUCAUCAUAUGAAGGAAUGAAGAUGUUCAAAAGAAAACCUUCAACCUCAUGCCAGAAGAUGUUCCCAGCUGUAUAAAUGCCUAACUCAGCUUCUAGUCCUUGGAAAUUAAGCAGCUCAUUGAAAAUUCAAGAGUUCCAGCCAGAAGCUACAGCUAGGCUCAGAUGUUGAAAUCAGUCUCUCCUGCUGAUCAAACUGUGACAUAGCCAAAGCAAUAGGCCUGGCUUUUCAGUUAAUUCUCAGCGAGCCCUUCCUUUCCCUCUGUAGUGGUUGGUGUGGCAUUUAUAAUAUAACUCCUUUAUGUACACUGUAAACCAUUCCUUCUCAGGGCAGAUGGAAGUAUGAAAUCUAUCUAUUUCAGUCUAUAAAAUUAUAUUUAGAGCGUUAGGUAAUGAAUGUCCUAGUAAAGUCGGCAGAGGACAGGUAGGUUAAAUGACAAGUAAGGAAUGACAGGCAGGUAGUAGAUGAUAAGAGUUGCAGAACAGUUUGGGGAGAAGGACUUUAUUUUUAAAUGCCUUUAGUAACACUACUACUACUAAUAUAGCAGUAAAGUACUUUUUACCCAUUAAUAAAUGGGUAAAAGUAAUUUCAAGUUAGCAAAUUUCUCAUUUAUAUGCAGUGUUUC